CAGGGUUCCCUUGGGGCAGUGCUUCUCAGCACCUGGCACACCCCCAUCACUAAAAAGUUCAAAACCAUCCCCAAAAACAGUGUUGGCUGCAAAUGACUGUUUUUCUGCUUCCUGAGGCUGACCAAGCCAAAUGUGGUCUGCUGUUCAAAUGCACUUUGUCCCCAACCCCUUGCUUCCUCAGCAGAGGUGCUGCCACACUGCUACUGCUGCCAGCAAAGAAGUCAGGUCUAGAAGUCAUGGAGCCUCACAGAGAUGCUUUAACACAACAGCAGGGCACAGCUGGAAGGCACCUGGGUCCUGCAAAAACAUCUGGGGGCCAUUUUGUCAUUGAACAGCUGUGCUGGGAGGUGUGCCGGAGAGAUCUGCCUCUGAGCACCUUUUAGACUAGCGUCUGUGCUGGGAUGGAUCAUCAGAAACUCACCGUUAGGCAGGAACAUGCAAAUGCGAAGACUGGAUGGAAGCACACAGACCACGUGUUGCAAAACUGUAGUCUGGUUCCUCGGCUUCUGACAAGCAGGCAGAAAAAAGAACAAGUGGGGAAAAUCCUUGUAUUCACUACCUUGCAGCAAGCCUUUUGUGUGUGGAGAGCGAGCACCGUUGCGCUGAAAGUGCUGGUAUUGAUGAAGGGUUUGGGAUGGGUUUGGGGCUGGGACUCAGCUGCCUGGUGGCAGAAAGCUGGCCAGGAAGGAGACCCACAGUUAUGGUGGGCAGGGAACUGGAUGUGAGGUUUAACAAAACAGGUCAGUGUCACCUGGAGACUUUGUGUGCAAGGGAAUCUCCCUCUAUGAGUGAGAAAGCAUGACCCAUCCCUGCUCUGUACAUUGUGUACUGAAUAAGGCUCUCCAUGACACUUUCACACCACUUGACAACACGAAAAGUGCUUUUAAAAGAGAGAAAACAGCCCAGGGAGAACAGCCUUUCCAGAGAGCCCUCCUCAUCUGCUCAGGAAUGGUCAAAGGACCCACAGAAGCUCUGCCCUGGUGAAUGGGGCAGGGAUUGAAUUGGAGCCCAGCAUAAAUUGCUCUUCAGUUAGCAUGGUCCCACAGGCUCAGGGUGACUUUUGGGAAGAUGACAGCCAUCAUGCUGUCCAUCUCAGUGGGAUGCUCCCCACAGCCCUGCAGUAGAGGAGCCACUGUAGUGAUUUGUUCUCCCCUUUUAAGAACCAAACACUGCAUACGUCCCAGCUGGCAAAGACAAACUAGAUCAUUAAGACAAUUGAAACUGUGUGGGUACAGAGAAACAAAUGAAAAAAUGAGUCUGAGAUGCAUUCACAUUUUGCACAUUUAAUGGGAUAAACCCCCAAGCCUAUAAUAUUAAAUCAGAAUGUCAAAGAGAGAGCUUAUGUUAAUUUAAUUAAAGACAGCAUCCUGGUGCACAUGGAUAAGGAGCAGAAUUAAUAUUGUGCACCACCCACUAAUUUUGCCUGCCAUGGGUUGUACAUAGCCUGGAUGUCCUGAUGUGCUCACAGCUCUGUUAAUCUGGACAGGGUGAGUAUCCCCCUGCCACUCUGCCAAAACUGGGCAGGGUUGAAUUUUAUUCUUCUCAUUUCCAAACCUGUCAAACUGUGCGUGAAUAUUACCAAUGGCACAAACCUAAGCACUAAUUCAUCUGUCUGUGCUGGAGAGGUGGGAGUCCUUGCCUGCCUUCACUUCCAGUGGGGCAAAAGAGAGGAAUUCCUCAAAGAUGCCUGGCAGUAAGUGGUAUGGACAUCCCUCUACCCUUUGUACAUCUUCAGUCCUACCAGCUCGCAUGUUUACCUCACCUCCUUAUGUGCUGGACCCUGGCAAAAAAUAGCUGAUUCUUCAGGAAAUUGCCUCUAGGCCUAACUCAAACUCAGCCAAGCUAAUAGGAGCCUUCUGGUGGCUCUGAAAGGGUAUGGAUCAAAUGGUUUGCUUGUCACAGAGUAGGAUGCAGAAAAGAGCUCAUGGCUUUGUGCAACAUGUGUUGUGCAGAACCUGAAAAACAUUGUUAAGGUCCCUGAAAGUUUCCUGGCAGCACCAAAAGCUGU